rnacentral:rRNA from 1 species
UACGUAGGGUGCGAGCGUUGUCCGGAAUUAUUGGGCGUAAAGGGCUCGUAGGCGGUCUGUUGCGUCAGGAGUGAAAACUCGGGGCUUAACCCCGAGCCUGCUUCUGAUACGGGCAGACUAGAGGUAUGCAGGGGAGAACGGAAUUCCUGGUGUAGCGGUGAAAUGCGCAGAUAUCAGGAGGAACACCCGUGGCGAAAGCGGCUCUCUGGGACGGUACUGACGCUGAGACGCGAAAGCGUGGGGAGCGAACAGG